rnacentral:rRNA from 1 species
GACGAAUGCUGGCGGCGUGCUUAACACAUGCAAGUCGAACGAGUGGCGAACGGGUGAGUAAUACGUGAGUAACCUGCCCUCUUUUUGGGAUAAGCCUUGGAAACGGGGUGUAAUACCGGCAAAAGGGGGAUGGGCUCGCGGCCUGUCAGCUUGGUGGUGGGGUGAUGGCCUCCCAAGGCGGUGACGGGUAGCCGGCCUGAGAGGGUGACCGGGAACAGUGGGACGGGGAAGCGGCCCAGACGCCGAAGGGGGGGGGCAGAGGGGGAUAUUGCACAAUGGGCGAAGGCCUGAUGCAGCGACGCCGCGUGGGGGAUGAAGGUUGUCGGGUUGUAAACCUCUUGAGCAAUCGAACGGGUAGGUGGAGAAGAAGCGCCGGCUAACUACGUGCCAGCAGCCGCGGUAAUAC